rnacentral:misc_RNA from 1 species
GGGCGAAAGCCCAGAAGGUCCUGAUGAGGCCGAAAGGCCGAAACUCCAGUC